CCUACGGGAGGCUGCAGUGGGGAAUAUUGCACAAUGGGGGAAACCCUGAUGCAGCGACGCCGCGUGAGUGAAGAAGUAAUUCGUUAUGUAAAGCUCUAUCAGCAGGGAAGAAAAUGACGGUACCUGAGUAAGAAGCCCCGGCUAACGACGUGCCAGCAGCCGCGGUAAUACGUAGGGGGCAAGCGGUAUUCGGAUUUACUGGGUGUAAAGGGAGCGUAGACGGGAGUGCAAGUCUGGAGUGAAAGGCGGGGGGUCAACCCCCGGACUGCUCUGGAAACUGUACGGCUGGAGUGCAGGAGAGGUAAGUGGAAUUCCUAGUGUAGCGGUGAAAUGCGUAGAUAUUAGGAGGAACACCAGUGGCGAAGGCAGCUUACUGGACUGUAACUGACGUUGAGGCUCGAAAGCGUGGGGAGCAAACAGGAUUAGAUACCCGGGUAGUC
rnacentral:rRNA from 1 species